CUUUUGGCUCACGACGAUUAGAUUUUUCUCCAUUUAUCUGAUACAUGGCCGAUUGUUCCUUCCACCACCUCUUCCACCCAAUAAGAUGUCGCACCCCCAUGGACAUCAUUCAUUAUCUUUCUCACUUUAUUAAAUCUAUUCUCAUUUUGAAGCUCCCUUUCUUGGAUAUCAGUCGAUAACCCUUCUCUCUUUUCUAUUUGGCUCCGCUGCUUCACCUCCGAUUAGACCAACGCCAGAUAACCUCCUUCUGUACGCCAAUAUCUAUUACUCAUCUAUUUUGCCCUAAAUUGAACAUUAUCUCUCAGUUAAACCACCGGUCAACCUUAUUGAUCGGAUAUGUUCUCACAUACACCACCACUGUUGAACAUCUCUCUUUAGCUAUCACUACCACUUUGCAUCCUCUCCGUGCUUGGACCCCUCGCCUACGUUAAUCACCACAAAUAUAAGAAGUGUAUCAAGAGAACAACUAUUGUGGGUAUGUGGGUCUCUCCAAUUCAGAAUGUCUGUAAGCUAAUCAAAACAAUUUGAUUAUUUGUUUUGGUGGAUUUUGAAAUUGUUGUGCUUUGUAAGUGGGAUAUACUACUCUUAUUGAAGUCGUUCUCAGGAGUCAACCAAAAUUUACCGUCUUCUUCCUCCUCUGUUACCUCCCGUACCAGAUCUCCCUUGCCUUAUUUGAUCACUGUCGAAGCGUACCUGCAAUCGUUGCCUCAUUGUGGAAGCCCCCUACAUUUGCUGACUCCUUCACUUCCCGCAACUACAUCGUAUCAACUGGUGAAGAAGGAGAAGAAAUGUAUGAACCUUUCUUUGUUCUUGCUGCUAAUGUUCUUAGGGCUUCACCCUUUUUUCCAUUUCAGUUAUCGCUCUUUCUUUCAUCUUCUCCACUCUCCGCCUCUCUCUCUCUCUCUCUCAUAUCUGUUGAUAUUAUUCCAAAAGUAGGGUAUGUUGAUAAGUUAUUAACUUUAUUUUCUCGUACCUGUUGAUUUUGUUUACUAAUUGAGACGUUUUCUAAUGAUUUUGUUUUCAUGUAGGAUUAGUGGUGAAGAAGGAAAAGGAAUUUAUGAAUCCUUCUAUGUUCUAGCUGCUAUUGUUCUUAGGGUUGAUUGGAUAUUCGUUAACAUGUUUAUGUUAUUGUGGUUAUUUUAUGUUUCUAUUUCUCCUUUGUAAUGUUGUAUUCUCUUCAUUGUACAUCGAAAUCUAUCUUAAUUUUACAACCUUCGGUACGAAACAUUAAUCAGAGAUACAAAAUUCAACAAUAAUAUUGGAGAUUUAAAUGUCGGGCACAAAGAUUUCAUGGUUCAACAAAGAGCUAUUGAGAUUUGAAGACUGGGGUUAAAUGUUGUUAACAUAAGAAGAAACCCAUUACCAAGGCAUAAGUCAUUUGGGCUGUCAAAAAAGUUGCUUCCUGGUCUUACGAAAGAUAGAUUUGUACAAUGGGGUGUAAGAUGAACAUGAUGGAGUUCUUAUUAAAGUGAAGUUCAGGCAAAUAGGACAACUUCAGGUGCCAACUGCUCACCAUCAGUCUGGAAGGGUAUAACCAAAUGUUGGAAGCCAAUACCUGUUAUCUGUUGCUCUAUAACCGGUUUUCCUUGAAUCAACUUUGUACUUACGAAUAAUAUACAUUAUUAUACCAAUGUCAUCUAAAUAAAAACUGUUAUAAUACGAAAAGUUCAACUGGUAUAGAA